UGCGCAGGCGGUUACUUAAGUCAGGUGUGAAAGCCCUGGGCUUAACCUAGGAACAGCGCUUGAGACUGGGUAGCUUGGAGUGUGGCAGAGGGAGGUGGAAUUCCACGUGUAGCAGUGAAAUGCGUAGAGAUGUGGAGGAACACCGAUGGCGAAGGCAGCCUCCUGGGCCAGCACUGACGCUCAUGCACGAAAGCGUGGGGAGCAAACAGGAUUAGAUACCCUGGUAGUCCACGCCCUAAACGAUGUCAACUGGUUGUUGGUGGGGUUAAACCCAUUAGUAACGAAGCUAACGCGUGAAGUUGACCGCCUGGGGAGUACGGCCGCAAGGUUAAA
rnacentral:rRNA from 1 species